GAUGAACGCUAGCGGCAGGCCUAAUACAUGCAAGCCGAACGGCAAGUUUGAUAGCAAUAUUGGACCUAGAGUGGCGCAAGGGUGCGUAACACGUAUGCAACCUGCCCGCGACAGGAGGAUAGCUCCCCGAAAGGGGAAUUAACCCUCCAUAACACCAUGAGAAGGCAUCUGAUUAUGGUUAAACCGCAAGGGGUCGCGGAUGGGCAUGCGGUUGAUUAGCUAGUUGGCGGGGUAAAGGCCCACCAAGGCGGUGAUCAAUAGGGGUUCAGAGAGGAAGGUCCCGCACACUGGCACUGGGAUACGGGCCAGACUCCUACGGGAGGCAGCAGUCGGGAAUAUUGGACAAUGGUUGCAAGACUGAUCCAGCCAUGCCGCGUGCAGGAAGAAGGCCUUCUGGGUCGUAAACUGCUUUUGCCUGUGGAUAAAAUACCCGUGCGCGGGGAAUUGAAGGUAACAGGAGAAUAAGCCACGGCUAACUACGUG
rnacentral:rRNA from 1 species